AGUGAACGCUGGCGGUAGGCCUAACACAUGCAAGUCGAACGGCAGCACAGGAGAGCUUGCUCUCUGGGUGGCGAGUGGCGGACGGGUGAGGAAUACAUCGGAAUCUACUCUGUCGUGGGGGAUAACGGAGGGAAACUUACGCUAAUACCGCAUACGACCUACGGGUGAAAGCAGGGGACCUUCAGGCCUUGCGCUAUUGAAUGAGCCGGUGUCGGAUUAGCCAGUCGGCGGGGUAAAGGCCCACCAAGGCGACGAUCCGUAGCUGGUCUGAGAGGAUGAUCAGCCACACUGGAUGUGAGACACGGUCCAGACUCCUGCGGGAGGCAGCAGUGGGGAAUAUUGGACAAUGGGCGCAAGCCUGAUCCGGCCAUACCGCGUGGGUUAAGAAGGCCCUCGGGUUGUAAAGCCCUUUUGUUGGGAAAGAAAUCCAGCUGGCUAAUACCCGGUUGGGAUGACGGUACCCAAAGAAUAAGCACCGGCUAACUUCGUGCCAGCCGCCGCUGUAA
rnacentral:rRNA from 1 species